ACUGGCCUACGGGGGGCAGCAGUGGGGAAUAUUGCACAAUGGGGGAAACCCUGAUGCAGCGACGCCGCGUGAGUGAAGAAGUAUUUCGGUAUGUAAAGCUCUAUCAGCAGGGAAGAAAAUGACGGUACCUGACUAAGAAGCCCAGGCUAACUACGUGCCAGCAGCCGCGGUAAUACGUAGGGGGCAAGCGUUAUCCGGAUUUACUGGGUGUAAAGGGAGCGUAGACGGCAGCGCAAGUCUGAAGUGAAAUCUCAUGGCUUAACCAUGGAACUGCUGUGGA
rnacentral:rRNA from 1 species